rnacentral:lncRNA from 1 species
GUUUUUGUAAUUUAACCGUUUCACGAUUUUAGACGAGAUCGUUUCCUCAUACGAUGCCGUUUUUAUAAAACGUCUCGAGCUAAUCGUAUAGUUUUGAAAAUGUACUAUGUUUCGUAUAAUCAUUGUCGUUUUAUACGAUCAUCUCGAAUUCUUAUGAGAAAAGAAGGCAUUUUACGGUUUUAUUGUAAAGCUCGAAUGGUAAGACGGAUCGAG